rnacentral:misc_RNA from 1 species
GUAGGUGAACCUGCGGAAGGAUCAUUACCGAGUAAGGGUCACAAGGCCCAAACCUCCAACCCCCCUUGUAUACCAACAAACCGUUCCUUCGACAGGAUCCAGGCCGUGGUGGGGGCCGCUCCAUGAGCGGCCCCCUCCCCGACCCAUCCCCUUCCUCCCGGAAGGGGGCCUGUCAGAAGACCAAUAAACUCCAGUUAUCAUGCAUGUCUGAGUCCACAUAUAAUAAAUCAAAACUUUCAACAACGGAUCU